rnacentral:rRNA from 1 species
UACGUAGGUGGCGAGCGUUGUCCGGAAUCACUGGGCGUAAAGGGCGCGUAGGCGGCGGAGCAAGUCGCAUGUGAAAUUCCAGGGCUUAACCUUGGGGGGUCAUGCGAAACUGCUUUGCUUGAGUGCAGUAGAGGAAAGCGGAAUUCCUGGUGUAGCGGUAAAAUGCGUAGAGAUCAGGAGGAACACCGGUGGCGAAGGCGGCUUUCUGGGCUGCAACUGACGCUGAGGCGCGAAAGCGUGGGGAGCAAACAGG